UGGGGAAUAUUGCGCAAUGGGGGAAACCCUGACGCAGCAACGCCGCGUGAGCGAUGAAGGUCUUCGGAUUGUAAAGCUCUGUCUUUAGGGACGAUAAUGACGGUACCUAAGGAGGAAGCCACGGCUAACUACGUGCCAGCAGCCGCGGUAAUACGUAGGUGGCAAGCGUUGUCCGGAUUUACUGGGCGUAAAGAGUAUGUAGGCGGAUAUUUAAGUCAGAUGUGAAAUUCCCGGGCUUAACCUGGGCGCUGCAUUUGAUACUGGAUAUCUAGAGUGUGGGAGAGGAAAGCGGAAUUCCUAGUGUAGCGGUGAAAUGCGUAGAGAUUAGGAAGAACACCAGUGGCGAAGGCGGCUUUCUGGACCAUAACUGACGCUGAGAUACGAAAGCGUGGGGAGCAAA
rnacentral:rRNA from 1 species